rnacentral:rRNA from 1 species
AUUGAACGCUGGCGGCAGGCCUAACACAUGAAAGUCGAACGAGUUGCGGACUGGUGAGUAUUGUCAGGUAAACUGCCUGAUGGAGGGGGAUAACUACUGGAAACGGUAGCUAAUACCUAAUACCAUCAUAUGUUCCCAGAUGGUAUUAGAGAGUUGGUGGGGUAACGGCUCACCAAGGCGAUGAACGCUAGCUGGUCUGAGAUGAUGACCAGCCACACUGGAACUAAGACACGGUCCAGACUCCUACGGGAGGCAGAAGUGGGGAAUAUUGCACAAUGGGCGCAAGCCUGAUGCAGCCAUGCCGCGUGUAGGAAGAAGGCCUGCGGGUUGUAAAGGACUUUCAGCGGGGAGGCGUUCACCGAAGAAGAAGCACCGGCUAACUCCGUGCGAGCAGCCGCGGUAAUUC